CCUACGGGCGGCAGCAGUGAGGAAUAUUGGUCAAUGGGCGCGAGCCUGAACCAGCCAAGUCGCGUGAGGGAAGACGGUCCUAUGGAUUGUAAACCUCUUUUGUCGGGGAGCAAAAGCCGCCACGCGUGGCGUUCCGAGAGUACCCGAAGAAAAAGCAUCGGCUAACUCCGUGCCAGCAGCCGCGGUAAUACGUAGGUGGCAAGCGUUAUCCGGAUUUACUGGGUGUAAAGGGCGUGUAGGCGGGCUUGCAAGUCAGAUGUGAAAUUCCAGGGCUCAACCCUGGAACUGCAUUUGAAACUGGAGGUCUUGAGUGCGGGAGAGGCAAGCGGAAUUCCGUGUGUAGCGGUGAAAUGCGUAGAUAUACGGAGGAACACCAGUGGCGAAGGCGGAUUGCUGGACAGUAACUGACGCUGAGGCGCGAAAGCGUGGGGAGCAAACAGGAUUAGAUACCCGAGUAGUC
rnacentral:rRNA from 1 species